rnacentral:rRNA from 1 species
GAUGAACGCUAGCGGCAGGCCUAAUACAUGCAAGUCGGACGGGAUUCAGGAGCUUGCUUCUGAUGAGAGUGGCGCACGGGUGCGUAACACGUAUGUAACCUACCUUUAUCAGGGGGAUAGCCUCUCGAAAGAGAGAUUAAGCCCGCAUAAAAUCACAGCACAGCAUUGUGUAAUGAUCAAAUAUUUAUAGGAUAAAGAUGGGCAUGCGGAACAUUAGCUAGAUGGCGGGGUAACGGCCCACCAUGGCGACGAUGUUUAGGGGAUCUGAGAGGAUGGCCCCUCACAACGGGACUGAGGCACGGACCCGACGCCGACGGGAGGCAGCAGUAACGAAUAGUGGUCACUGGGCGGAAGCCUGAACCAGCCAUGCCGGGUGCAGGAAGACGGCCCUACGGGUUGUAAACUGCUUUUAUACGGGAAUAAACCCAGAUUCGGGUAUGUGGCUGAAUGUACUGUAAGAAUAAGGAUCGGCUAACUCCGUG